rnacentral:rRNA from 1 species
CAAAAGAAAGACGAUUAGACCCUAUUGAACUUAACUGUAGUUAAACUGGGGCAGUAAAUUAAUUAUUAUUUUAAUAAAAUAUUUUAUAUAAAUAUCUAAUAAAAUUAAAUAAUUCAGUUACCAUAGGGAUAACAGCGUAAUAAUUUUCUAAAGAUCUUAUUUAAAAUAUAGAUUACGACCUCGAUGUUGAAUUAAUAACCUAAUUAAGGCAAAACUUAAAAAAGGAAGUCUGUUCGACUUUUAAAAAAUUACAUGAUUUGAGUUCAGACCGGUGUAAGCCAGGUCGGUUUCUAUCUUCUAAAAAAUUUUUUACAGUACGAAAGGACCUAAAA